rnacentral:tRNA from 2 species
GCGGGCGUGGUGGAACUGGCAGACACGCGAGAUUUAGGUUCUCGUGCCGCAAGGCGUGGGGGUUCAAGUCCCUCCGCCCGCACCA